rnacentral:misc_RNA from 1 species
AGCGACCAAAGCUUUUGGCUGCUGACUAUGAGUCACUACUUAAGAAAGCUGACAAGUCCCAUGAUGACUUUGAGGAAAAGUAUGCUGAAAAUGCUACUGUAGAGGGAAGCGAGGAAGAUGGUUUUAGAGACCUAGUUCGACACACUAUGUUUGAGAAGGGUCAAAGUAAACGUAUAUGGGGUGAGCUUUACAAAGUGAUCGAUUCUUCAGAUGUUGUUGUCCAGGUUCUAGAUGCAAGAGAUCCACAAGGAACAAGAUGUUACCAUUUAGAGAGACAUUUGAAAGAGCAUUGCAAACAUAAACACGUGGUUCUCUUGUUAAAUAAGUGCGAUUUGAUUCCUGCUUGGGCAACAAAGGGAUGG